UUUCGCAAUGCCCGAAAGGGUGACGAAGCGACGCCGCGUGCGGGAAGAAGGCCUUCGGGUUGUAAACCGCUGUCGGGAGUUAAGAAAUGUAAGGAUGUUAAUAGCAUCGCUACUUGACUAAGGCUCCGGAGGAAGCCACGGCUAACUCUGUGCCAGCAGCCGCGGUAAUACAGAGGCGGCAAGCGUUGUUCGGAAUUAUUGGGCGUAAAGAGCACGUAGGCGGCUAUGUAAGUCGGUUGUGAAAGCCUUCCGCUCAACGGGAGAACAGCAUCCGAUACUGCAUGGCUUGAGUGCGGGAGGGGAGAGUGGAACUUCUGGUGGAGCGGUGAAAUGCGUAGAUAUCAGAAGGAACGCCGGCGGCGAAAGCGGCUCUCUGGCCCAUAACUGACGCUGAGUGUGCGAAAGCUAGGGGAGCAAACGGGAUUAGAUACCCCGGUAGUCCUAGCCGUAAACGAUGGGCACUAAGUAGAGGGGUUUUA
rnacentral:rRNA from 1 species